rnacentral:rRNA from 1 species
AACGAACGCUGGCGGCAUGCCUAACACAUGCAAGUCGAACGGUGCCUUCGGGCACAGUGGCGCACGGGUGAGUAACACGUGGGAACCUGCCUUUCGGUUCGGAACAACGUCUGGAAACGGACGCUAACGCCGGAUACGCCCAUCCAGCGAUGGUUGGGGAAAGUUUUACGCCGAGAGAGGGGCCCGCGCCGGAUUAGGUAGUUGGUGGGGUAACGGCCUACCAAGCCGACGAUCCGUAGCUGGUCUGAGAGGAUGAUCAGCCACACUGGGACUGAGACACGGCCCAGACUCCUACGGGAGGCAGCAGUGGGGAAUAUUGGACAAUGGGCGCAAGCCUGAUCCAGCAAUGCCGCGUGAGUGAUGAAGGCCUUAGGGUUGUAAAGCUCUUUCGCACGCGACGAUGAUGACGGUAGCGUGAGAAGAAGCCCCGGCUAACUUCGUGCCAGCAGCCGCGGUAAGUACGCAGCGA